CGGUGUGAGUUAGUCACGUGAGGUGAAGUGUGAGAGUGGAACACACUGCAUCACAUGUGACCUCCCUACACAGU
rnacentral:pre_miRNA from 1 species